rnacentral:rRNA from 1 species
UACGUAGGGUGCAAGCGUUGUCCGGACUUAUUGGGCGUAAAGCGCUCGCAGGUGGUCCGCUGCGUCGUGCGUGAAAGACCCCGGCUCAACUGGGGGAUGUCGUGCGAUACGGGCGGACUGGAGGCCAGUAGGGGGAUGCGGAAUUCCGGGUGUAGUGGUGGAAUGCGUAGAGAUCCGGAGGAACACCAGCGGCGAAGGCGGCAUCCUGGACUGGUCCUGACACUCAGGAGCGAAAGCGUGGGGAGCGAUCCGG